ACCUGGUCUAGUGGAAGGUGUCCCUGCCCAUGGCAGGGGGUUUGGAACUAAAUGAUCUCUAAUGUCCCAUCAAACCCAAACCAUUCUUUGAUUGAUUCUAUGGUUCCAUUUAGCAAAUUCCAAAAAUGCUCAAAUAGAAUAGAUCAAAGGUCUCUUCUAGUUUAAAAUACUGGGUUCUUCAUCAUAACAGAGGGAUUUAUGGUGAGUUGUUUAAGGCUCUGUAAUA